rnacentral:rRNA from 1 species
GACGAACCGUGCAAACGUUGUUCGGAAUCACUGGGCUUAAAGGGCGCGUAGGCGGGCGAAUAAGUCAGGGGUGAAAUCUUUCGGCUCAACCGGAAAAGUGCCCCUGAUACUGUUCGUCUCGAGGGAGGUAGGGGUAUGUGGAACUUCUGGUGGAGCGGUGAAAUGCGUUGAUAUCAGAAGGAACGCCGGUGGCGAAAGCGACGUACUGGACCUCUUCUGACGCUGAGGCGCGAAAGCUAGGGGAGCGAACGGG